rnacentral:rRNA from 1 species
AGAGUUUGAUCCUGGCUCAGGACGAACGCUGGCGGCACGCUUAACACAUGCAAGUCGAACGAGAGAAGAGGAGCUUGCUUUUCUGAUCUAGUGGCGGACGGGUGAGUAACACGUGAGCAAUCUGCCUUUCAGAGGGGGAUACCGAUUGGAAACGAUCGUUAAUACCGCAUAACAUAAUUGAACCGCAUGAUUUGAUUAUCAAAGAUUUAUCGCUGAAAGAUGAGCUCGCGUCUGAUUAGCUAGUUGGUAAGGUAACGGCUUACCAAGGCGACGAUCAGUAGCCGGACUGAGAGGUUGAUCGGCCACAUUGGGACUGAGACACGGCCCAGACUCCUACGGGAGGCAGCAGUGGGGAAUAUUGCACAAUGGAGGAAACUCUGAUGCAGCGAUGCCGCGUGAGGGAAGAAGGUUUUAGGAUUGUAAACCUCUGUCUUCAGGGACGAAAAAAGACGGUACCUGAGGAGGAAGCCCCGGCUAACUACGUGCCAGCAGCCGCGGUAAUACGUAGGGAGCGAGCGUUGUCCGGAAUUACUGGGUGUAAAGGGAGCGUAGGCGGGAUCGCAAGUCAGAUGUGAAAACUAUGGGCUUAACCCAUAAACUGCAUUUGAAACUGUGGUUCUUGAGUGAAGUAGAGGUAACGGAAUUCCUAGUGUAGCGGUGAAAUGCGUAGAUAUUAGGAGGAACAUCAGUGGCGAAGGCGGCUUACUGGGCUUUAACUGACGCUGAGGCUCGAAAGCGUGGGGAGCAAACAGGAUUAGAUACCCUGGUAGUCCACGCCGUAAACGAUGAUUACUAGGUGUGGGGGGACUGACCCCUUCCGUGCCGCAGCAAACGCAAUAAGUAAUCCACCUGGGGAGUACGACCGCAAGGUUGAAACUCAAAGGAAUUGACGGGGGCCCGCACAAGCAGUGGAGUAUGUGGAUUAAUUCGAAGCAACGCGAAGAACCUUACCAGGUCUUGACAUCGUAUGCAUAGCUCAGAGAUGAGUGAAAUCUCUUCGGAGACAUAUAGACAGGUGGUGCAUGGUUGUCGUCAGCUCGUGUCGUGAGAUGUUGGGUUAAGUCCCGCAACGAGCGCAACCCUUACUGUUAGUUGCUACGCAAGAGCACUCUAGCAGGACUGCCGUUGACAAAACGGAGGAAGGUGGGGAUGACGUCAAAUCAUCAUGCCCCUUAUGACCUGGGCCUCACACGUACUACAAUGGCUGUCAACAGAGGGAAGCAAAGCCGCGAGGUGGAGCGAACCCCUAAAAGCAGUCUUAGUUCGGAUUGUAGGCUGCAACCCGCCUACAUGAAGUCGGAAUUGCUAGUAAUCGCAGAUCAGCAUGCUGCGGUGAAUACGUUCCCGGGCCUUGUACACACCGCCCGUCACGCCAUGGGAGUCGGUAACACCCGAAGCCUGUAGUCUAACCGCAAGGAGGACGCAGUCGAAGGUGGGAUUGAUGACUGGGGUGAAGUCGGAACAAGGUA